rnacentral:lncRNA from 1 species
UUUCAAUUUAUAUUGCAAAUUACUCUUUUAUAAUCCAAAUGGAAAACAUUUAAAAUUCUAAAUUAAAGCCUUCAAUUCAAAGUUGAAAAUGACAUUUCUAGUAGUUCGUUUUAUGUAAUUUUUAUAUAUUUUUAUUUUUUAAAUACAUAUGUAGAACGGUGUUUUUAGUUAUUUUAAAUAUUUAAAAAUAUUAUCUCAAAGACAAAUAAUUAAAAUAGAAAAACAAUCUUACGGAGAAGUCUGAAUGAAGUCUGAAGUUCGAUAUUGUCCUCAUAUCUGAAAUAAAACCUACAUAUCCGAAAAAAGUUAAAAAUGAUUUCAAACAGAGAGAAAAAAAAAUUCAAAAACAGAACUUUUUAUGCUUUCAUAAUAAACAAAUCAAUAACAUUAAGUUGAAUUUAUAAUUCGAAUCGAAC